UAACCUUAACCUACACUCAGUAACGCCUAAAAAUCUGGAGGAAUCAGCGCCGCAAUACAUUGGAGAGCUGAAAAUACACACAAAAAAUAGAGAGCCUCCUUCUUCAUUCAAAGAUCAGCCAUAGACACUCCAUUACAGCCCAAAUUUCAACCCCAAAAGCUACGAAAAUCAACCAUGAAACAGCCCCAAAUUCCAGCUUAAAACACCCUUGCAACUUACUCCAAACACCACCAACAAAACCUUCUAUAGUUGCUGAAAAAUCAGCAAUGUAAAAGCCAUCAAAACCAGCUAAGCUUCCAUCAUUUUCAGCCGUAAACACCCAAAAAUCAGCAAUCAAAUCCAACCUCGAGACACCCCAAAACGCAGUUGAAAUCUGUUGCAAUCAGCUGCCGAAUCAGCCCUGAAAAGAGCCGAAACAACAACUGAGAGGCGCUGCAAAUUCCACCGAAAAGAUCACCUCAAAACCAAUGCAAAAACCAGCCCGAAAUCACCAUCCCAAAUCUGGUUGAGUUGAGUGGUUCGGCGUUGCGAUUCCGGUUCUAGUUUAUGGUCCGUAGCUCGGUUGAGGACUGCUAUUUUUGGAUACUCUUUUGCGAUGUACACGUUUUGAAGAUUUUCAGCAAUUAAGGGUCUCUACAUGGGUGCUAUGGAUAAUGAGAUGCGCCUUGGGAUUUUUUCAAGAAGCAAUGAUGUAGUGGUGAACCUGUUAUAAAACCCCAGCGGUUUGUCAACUGCAAAAGUAUGGCCAAACGGGCUUUGGAUGUUGUUAUGGAUGAUGAUCAGAAAAUGGAGAUCUUCCUAGAACAAUAUGCUGCUGAAUGGAAAAGAUAAUGGUGCAAAUCCAUUGCCAACUAGAGCAAAUAUGAUUCGAGCAUUCGACUGGCUUUUGCAUGGCUGCAAGUCUGAUGACAUGCGUUUUCUUUUUUAUGCCGGUCAUGGAGAUCAGCAUCUACUUGAUAAUGGGCACUCAUUGGACGAGUUUUGUGAAAGUAUAAAUCCCUUGGACUUCAUAAUCGAAGGUCCUAUAUAUGACUUCGAGCUCAAUGAGAGGUGGCUGGUCAGGCCGCUUCCCACAGGAGCAAAACUUUUUGCAUAAAUGGAUUGCUGUUCUAGUGGCAACAUUCUAGAUUUACCAUGGCUUUCCCAAACAACGAGGUAAUGCUUGUAAUAAGAUUUUGCUUUAGAGGUUAGGAGUCUGUAACUUAUAGAGAGGCUGAAUUUGAUCAAAUACAAUCAAAUCUCUCUAUAACGUCGUUUAUUCCAAAUAUUUUUGAAUGUUAUAGCGAAGCGCUGUUAUAGAGAACA